rnacentral:piRNA from 1 species
UAGUUUUUCGACAUCUCACCA